rnacentral:lncRNA from 1 species
GACAGCCAGUCGCUGUGGCAACGGCGCAACCUCCGGGGACCACGCGCUCUCCUGCAGCCGGUGCGGAAAUCUGUGGCGCUGCGCUUCAGUUGCUCAGACAGCAGGGCUAUCACAGCAGCUGGGGAUUGCUGGAGUGAGGGUGACCUGGAUUUACCUUUUCCUGCAUAAUUCCUCAGCUGCAAAAUUUAUUUACAGGGACAAGAAUGCAACUCUGAAGGCAACAAAAGGGAAGAUAAAAGGUUUCAAAGAACUGAAAACCGCGCAUGCAUCCUCAUACACAU